ACACCGAGGUCAUAAAGCCAUAGCUUGACCAUGUCUACAAAUUGUGUCAAAACGUUUCCGCCGUUCAAAGAUGCUGCUACACAAAGAUGUUUUCCUGGAAUACGUGAAAUAGUAGUACAAAUCAGUUCUCUGGAAAUAGAUUCACCGCAACUACGUACCUGUGUAUCUGGUUGUCCGACUUACGAAUCUGCUGGAGGCUUCCAAUUGGAUGAUGCCCACUUCUAGAACCUACUGGAAAUCCGUAACGGCUGCCUAACUAGCAUGUCCUAUUUGGUCUGUUUAUUUAUGGGCAGAACAGACCGCUUCCGCGAACACCUUGUCGCCUUAAUUCGAAGACACUGAAGGCCGCCGAUGUGUAAACAAGACCAUUUCAUUAGUGAUUCCUGCAAUACAAAAAAGCACAGUACUGCGUGUUGGCUACAGGGAACGCACACGUCCUGUUGAAUUAAACUCGUACCUCAUUGCGUAUUGUUGGCCACAAACGUCAGCCAUCUGACUACGAAGUUCGGACGCUUUAGAAUAUCUGAGUCAAGGUAGGUAAACAAUCGAAACAAACUAACAGCAAUAUGAUUGAUAAUCUAUUAUUAUACAAUCGUCAGCGGCCUAUUCGUUUAGUGAAUGAUUGCUUCUUCAUUUUCCGGCCUUUUUUCUCCGUAUGAAUCGUACGUCCUCGGAAUUUUUGGCCAUCGUUCAUUCGUAUUCCAUAAUCGUACGCAAUAAUCAUCUUUAGUACCCGCUAUGUUUGAACCAGCGUCGCUGUAUGCUUUUUAUAUUUGGUUAUUAUUGCAACGCACCAAAGAGGCACCCCUCAACCAUCCAGACGUGCCGUUCCUAAC